rnacentral:lncRNA from 1 species
GCCACAUGUUCAAGAUGGCAGAAUCACUAUCAGCUUCAAUUCCUGAAUGACUGCAGAGCAAAAUUUCUUACCUGCAACAUACACUCUAUUUUCAGCCUCCCUGGACUGUUACAUAAUGAUACAUAAAAAUAUUUCUUGUGUUGAGGCAUCCCAAAUUUGAUUUAUUUGUCAUCACAGUCUAUCCUAUGAAUAUAUUUCUGAUCCAAAUAAUGCUAGAUUCAUGAGAGUUUAUAGUCCAGAGAUUUUUUUUUUUUUUUUGAGACAGAAUCUGUCUCCCAGGCUGGGGUGCAGUGGCAUAAUCUUAGCUCACUGCAACCUCUGCCUCCCGGGCUCAAGUGAUCCUCCCUCCUUAGCCUCCAUGAGUAGCUGGGACCACAGGUGUGCACCACCACACCCCGCUAAUUAUUUUGUAUUUUUUGCAGAGGGGGGUUUCACCACAUUGCCCAAGCUGGUCUCAAACUCCUAGACUUAAGGGAUCUGCCUGCCUUGGCCUCCCAAAAUGCUGAAAUUACACUUGUUAGCCAUAGUAAUAGUUCCUAGCCAUAGUCCGGAGAUAUUUUAAAAACUUUAGUGUGAGUUAUUUCUCUUUGCUAUAAUUCUCUCAUGCAUUUUGAAAACCUUUUCUGCCAUACAGUGGUUUUUGGGAAGUCCUUUUGGACAGACAUAUCACAGGAUGGAGAAACUAAAAAGAGAGAAUGCAUUAAAGAAAAAAUAGUACUUCGUAUUUCAGAAAUUACAAAAGGGUGUCAUGCCCCACAGCAUGGUGGGCAGUCAUUUGUAACCCACAGAACAUUGAGUUUCUAAAAUUUGAGUGUUUUUAACUUACGAAGGCCAACUUUACUGAUGAAGUGAUUACCCCAAAUAUGUGAAAUCCAUAUUUCAAGUACAAUAGUAGGAAAUUGGAAAUGGGCUGAAAAAGUUUUGGAAGCCCUCCUAAGCAGGUGCCAGACCCUUUUUUGGCCAGAGUUGGAGGAACUGGUUAUUUUCCCAGGGCUUUGACUGAAAUGGCCUUGUGAAUGGUUCCAGGAAAGCCAAUUUUGGAGACCCUAUGUGGAUGAUGAUGCUUGCUGUACUUUCUGUGGGUAAUCGGGCCAAGUAUAUGGGACUGAAGCUAAUUUUGCAGGUGAGAAAAUGGAGGUCCAGAGAGAAAAGUGACUCACCCAAGCUGAAAACAGUUGCAGGAAGAAAAGCCAGGACAGAACUGGGCUGUUAGAAACCUUGGUAGUGCACUUUUGAUUUCACUCUUAAAAUGCUCAAAUGUCUUUUUCUGACAACAUGUAGGGAGACCUGAGGUUGGACCUAAAGACACCAUAUAUUGGAUUCAGUGCUUCACACAAGUUAAUCUAAAU